GCUGAAGCAUUGUAGGUCUCCCUGAAGGCAGUGUUCCUUCUCUCUUCUGCUGUAGCUGCACUUCUGCACCAGACAUUGCCGCUUGCUACCAGCUGCAGUUGCUGUCCGUCAGCCUGAGGGAAGGAGGCUGUUUCUCAUUCUGUGCCAUCUCUGGUAGCUCUGCUGCAUUUGAGUCCUCUUAAAUAUAGAGCAAGCUCAAAACCAACAUGUUUUGCUGUGGUCAGUUGAACGUUCCUGAGGAAGUUUGUUCCAUCAUCAGUGUAACAUCCUCAAGAGAGCUGUCCCUAGCCUUUUUGCCUUCAGGUGAACUUAAAUGAAAGACGGAAAUAGGAAAGAAGGAAAUCCUCUACUCAAAUGCACAUGCUUCAACAUUGGGCCCUGUGGCUGACAGUGGAGAGCCCAGUUCUGCCAGAGUGCUGGAGACCCUCUGCUCCAUGUCCAAGGAAGAGUGGAGGACAGGCAACAUCACGCUGUGUACAGAAGCAGACAAAGCAGCACCUUCUUGCUCCAGCCUGUGUGUCAGAGCCAUCCACCUCAUGUGAACACCUACUGGGAAAUUCAGACCACCUGGGGAGGUAGCAAGCAAGGAGGUAUGUGUGUGGGGUUAGAGGUUCAUGAUCUAUGUCUGGCCAGCUGAACACAUCAGCAUGUCUCAAAACCUCUAGGGGUCGAAGGGAUGCUUCAGCAUCCUUCCAAAGAAAGAGCUGUGGAUGUCAUUUUGUCAGUGCCAUGAAAUUUUCUCAUUUCCCACAGGGAGUAGGGAAGAAACCAGAUCACCUCUGGGAUUAAUUGAUAUGCUUUGUAUUUGCUGUUGGUUAUUUUUCUCCUAAAGUUCUUCAGCUUUCAUCAAUAUCUAAUUGAUUUAUGUUAUAGAAAGCUAUGCAUGUUCAUCUGUGAA